rnacentral:rRNA from 1 species
AUGCCUUUGCCUGUACCUAGUGUUCCUUGGGAGGAUUUAUCUAUGGACUUUGUUUUAGGUUUACCUCGAACAAAGAAGGGGAGGGAUAGCAUAUUUGUUGUCAUGGAUAGAUUCUCGGAAAUGGCACACUUUAUACCAUGUCAUAAAAGCGAUGAUGUUGUUAAUGUUGCUGAUUUGUUCUUUCACGAAAUUAUUCGCUUGCAUGGUGUGCCAAAUACUAUUGUUUCAAAUCGUGAUACUAAAUUUCUUAGUCACUUUUGGAGAUGUUUAUGGGCUAAGUUGGGGACUAAACUGCUUUUUAGUUCUACUUGUCACCCCCAAACUGAUGGACAAACUGAAGUAUUCAAUAGAACAUUGUCUACUAUGCUUAGGGCUAUUUUGAAGAAUAAUAAGAAAAUGUGGGAAGAAUGCUUGCCACAUAUUGAAUUUGCUUAUAAUCGUUCAUUGCAUUCUACUAGUAAGAUGUGCCCUUUUGAAACUGUGUAUGGUUUCCUACCUCGUGCACCUAUUGAUUUGUUGCCUCUUCCAUCUUCGGAGAAGGUUAAUUUUGAUGCUAAACAACAUGCUGAAUUGAUCUUAAAAAUGCAUGAGUUAACUAAGGAAAACAUUGAGCGUAUGAAUGCUAAAUAUAAACUUGCUGGAGAUAAGGGUAGAAAACAUGUUGUCUUUGCACCUGGAGAUCUCAUUUGGUUACAUUUGUGUAAGUAUAGGUUUCCUAAUUUGUGCAAAUCAAAGCUAAUGCCAUGUACUGAUGGUCCUUUUAAGGUGUUAGAGAAAAUAAAUUAUAAUGCAAAUAAACUUGAUCUGCCUGCAGAUUUUGGGGUUAGUCCCACUUUUAACAUUGCAGAUUUGAAGCCUUAUUUGGGAGAGGAAAAUGAGCUUCCAUCAAGGAUGACUUCGUUUCAAGAAGGGGAUCAUGAUGAGGACAUCAAUACCAUUGUUACACCCAUAGCCCCUACUGCUACAUAUACUGGACCAAUUCAUAGAGCUCGCGCACGCCAAUUAAAUUAUCAGGGCCUAGCAUGGAUAAGAGGGAAGAACACUGGAGCAAGACCAAGCAUGGAGAUGAUGGCAUGCGCAAGGGGAACAAGAACGGAGUUACAAGUGAUGAUUUCAGGACUUUGA